AGAUAAUAGAUACCCCGGUAGUCCACGCCCUAAACGAUCCGAACUGGCUAUAAGGAGUAUCGACCCUCUUUGUGGCGAAAGCUAAACGCGUUAAGUUCGGCGCCUGGGUAGUACGGCCGCAAGGCUAAAACUCAAAGGAAUAGACGGGGACUUGCACAAGCGGUGGAUCAUGCGGCUCAAUUCGAUGACAAACGAAGAACCUCACCAGGGUUUGAAACCCAGACGAAAGUCCUAGGAAACUAGGACCCUCGCAAGACGGCUGGGCAGGUGAUGCAUGGUCGUCGUCAGUUCGUGGCUUGAGUUGUUCCCUUCAGUGGGGUAACGAACGCAACCCUCGUUGCCUGUUUUAUUAGUCAGGCGAGACUGCCCCCUCACGGGGGAGGAAGGUGAGGAUGACGCCAGAUCAGCAUGUCCCUCUGAUAUCCUGGGCUGCACGCAUGAUACAAUGGACGAGACAACGGGUCGCGACGGGGUAACCCUGAGCUAAUCCUUAUAACUCGUCCCCAGUUCGGAUUGAGGUCUGCAACUCGACCUCAUGAAGCCGGAAUC
rnacentral:rRNA from 1 species